rnacentral:lncRNA from 1 species
GUUGGAGAAAUUAAACAGCUUGCACCAGGUGGGAAACUAUGCUCACAGCCCCCAACACAUAAUGCGACCUUUCUUUCCAUUCCUUCAAGAUUAACAGGAUAGCUGGAAGUCCCGCUGGCCAUCGGACACUCGUUCAUUAGGUGCUAACUAUGUGUCAGGCACUGGGUACUGGGAUGCGAUGGUGAACAAGACAGCCACAGACCAGCUCUCCUUGGAAACUGAGCUCAGAGGUGGAAACCAACCUAAAUAAACGGGGGAAUUAAGUGAGAUGAUGUGGAAGAGAGACUUGUGCUCAUUCUUCAGACUUCAACACCUAAGGGCCUGGCAAAUUGAUACUCAGGUUUAAGCACUGGAGUCUGGGUCUCCAGGGUUAACAUGAGUGCUUCGUAGGCAUGGCAGCCUACUUGAAAUCCGGGAACUGUGGGAUUUGAUGAGGAUGGGGAACGCCAAGGGAAACAGGGUACUCAGAGCACGCUGGUCAACAAGCCAACAGAACAGUGGCCUCUGUGCCCAGUAAACACGCUGGUGAGCAGCAGUGAAGUAUGACACCUAAGAUCAACUUCUGUCCUGCAUGUGUGUGUGCACAUACACAUAUCCAUAUUUCACACACACCCCCAUACAUAUGCAUACAUGGGAAAAGAAGGAGAAAGAAGACUGACUAGCAGCCGCAUGUCGAGGAGAGCAGGAUCUUAUCUUCGCAGUGUUUCCCUGUGGUAUUUACUGCCCUUGUUAUGGUCGUUGAUUCUAGAACUUGCCAGCCAGUGGGUAGAUGAGGCUGAACCAAUACAUACUGGGUCUGCAUGUGGAAGAAUGAGGCUUGCAGCCAACGGCCGUCCACAUCUCUGAUGAGGAUCAGUUCUCUUUCAGAGCACAUGGAAAUUGAAGCCAUGUGGGACUUAACAAGAGAUCAAAUGGUAUCUUAAACAUCCCAGGGCAGCUGCCCUGUCCCCAGAGCCUGGGGCGGCCUCUGUGAAGGGGCCCCUCUUUCCUGGUGUUCUGGGUCCCUCUCCUCCCAGCUCCACUGCAGCUUUGC